AGAAAUGUCUGCCCCGAGGAAGAGGCAGACAGCACAUCAGCUCUCUAAACACAGGAUUCGCAACCUUGGCUGACUUCGGAAUUCCCCCAAUGCAGAAAGCUCGGCCCAACCCACAUCCAGUCAUCAACAAAUAGAAAGCAUUUUGCCAUACUUCUUGUUUAUCUGAAGAAACAAGGACAGCGAAUUAUUCCAGGAACCGCUGGAAUUGCCAGGAGCCUACACCGGACGGAAGCUGCACUCAGAGCAAAGGGGUCCAUCACCCCGACUGGCUAUCAGCUGUUCUUUGCUAUCACCGGCGACUCCCAUACAUGUGACACUUGCCCAUGAGUUUAUCCAAUGGUUAUGAGCAAACCCCAAAAUAGGAUAAGCCCGAAAGAAACCCGCACCAAAACACAACAUAAUUACACUGCUAACAGCCAUGGACAAAGAAAAAAGAUCUUGAAAUCAGAGAAAAAUGACACCUUAUUUAUAGAGAAAAGUAAUUAGAAUAACAGUGGAUUUCCUGUCACAAAUAACAAAGGCCAUUAAUGCUGCUUUUCAAAAUCUGAAAGAAAAGAACUGUCAUCUAGAAUCUUAAACUCAGAGAAAACAGUGCCGCUAAACUGGACUCAAUCAUAAUUUAAAACUUCUGUUCUGUGAAGGGCCCUAUUGUGGGCACGAACAGACAAACCUGUUUGUAAAACACAUUCGACAAAGAACCAGGAUCAAAAACAUAUAAAUAACUCAAGAUUUGAGUUAAAAAAAUAUAAUUAGGAUCUGGGCAAAACACAUGGAGAGACGUUUCACCAAAGAAGGUAUUCAGAUGGCAAAUAAGCCCAUGAAAAGAUGUUCAAAACCAUUAGUCGUUAGGAAAUGUCAGUUAAAACCACAAUAAAUGCCUGUACGCACCCAUCAAAACGUCUAAAAUAAAAAAUAGUGCCAACACCAAAUGCUGGUGAGGCUGUGGGGAGACUGGAUCGCUCACACACUGCUGCUGAGAAUAUAAAAUGGCACAGACGCUCUGCAAAAUGGUUUGGCUUAAAGAGGAGGGGGCAGCAGAGAAGUGGGCGCCGUGGUGGCGAGGGAAGGUUGAGGGGGGGGCUGUUGACCUCCCCAGUGUCCAGGUCCUGGCUGUGGUGGUGUCCUGCAGUUUUACAAGACGUCACCGCUGAGGAAAAUGGGGUAAAGGGUAUGUGGGAUCUCUCUGUAUUAUCUUUUACAACGGCAUGUGCAUCUGCACUUAUCUCAAAACAAAAAUUAUUUAAAAAUAACUUUGUCCUUGAAAUGCCAGGACUGUGUAAUAUGUCUUAUAACUCCAUGUGAAUCUGCAAUGAUCUCAAAAUAAAAUUUAACUUAAAAAGAAGUUUGUCCUUGAAAUGCCAGGGAAUGGUACUGUUGAAACAGUUUCUGUGAUUAAAAAGGUUUGGCAGACGCUGGAAUAAACAAAACGUAUCAGGCUUCUUUACCAGGAGACUCCUCAGAGCCCGGCAUUUGUGCCUGCCAUAAGCAAUGCAGCCCGCUGGCAGAAGACUUCCCAGUACGGCUGGCGUGAGGGC